UGGAUGAAGCGGAGGGACAUUACCGAGUUUACAACUCCCAAACCCAAUGUGAACGUUACCAAACUGUUGCCUCGGCGGGGUCACGCCCCGGGUGCGUAAAAGCCCCGGAACCAGGCGCCCGCCGGAGGAACCAACCAAACUCUUUCUGUAGUCCCCUCGCGGACGUAUUUCUUACAGCUCUGAGCAAAAAUUCAAAAUGAAUCAAAACUUUCAACAACGGAUCUCUUGGUUCUGGCAUCGAUGAAGAACGCAGCGAAAUGCGAUAAGUAAUGUGAAUUGCAGAAUUCAGUGAAUCAUCGAAUCUUUGAACGCACAUUGCGCCCGCCAGUAUUCUGGCGGGCAUGCCUGUCCGAGCGUCAUUUCAACCCUCGAACCCCUCCGGGGGAUCGGCGUUGGGGAUCGGGACCCCUCACCGGGUGCCGGCCCUGAAAUACAGUGGCGGUCUCGCCGCAGCCUCUCCUGCGCAGUAGUUUGCACAACUCGCACCGGGAGCGCGGCGCGGAACGUCCGUAAAAUACCCAACUUCUGAAAUGUUGACCUCGGAUCAGGUAAGAAUACCCGCUGUACUUAAGCAUAUUU
rnacentral:rRNA from 1 species